CCUACGGGUGGCAGCAGUGAGGAAUAUUGGUCAAUGGGCGCGAGCCUGAACCAGCCAAGUCGCGUGAGGGAAGACGGUCCUAUGGAUUGUAAACCUCUUUUGUCGGGGAGCAAAAGACGCCACGCGUGCCGUUCCGAGAGUACCCGAAGAAAAAGAAUCGGCUAACUCCGUGCCAGCAGCCGCGGUAUGAGGGAGGAUGGGAGUGUUAUCCGGAUUUAUCGGGUUUAAAGGGGGCGCAGGCGGAAGCUUAAGUCAGCGGUAAAAUUGAGAGGCUCAACCUCUUCGAGCCGUUGAAACUGGUUUUCUUGAGUGAGCGAGAGGUAUGCGGAAUGCGUGGUGUAGCGGUGAAAUGCAUAGAUAGCACGCAGAACUCCGAUUGCGAAGGCAGCAUACCGGCGCCCAACUGACGCUCAGGCACGAAAGCGUGGGUAUCGAACAGGAUUAGAUACCCGGGUAGUC
rnacentral:rRNA from 1 species